AUUGAACGCUGGCGGCAUGCUUUACACAUGCAAGUCGAACGGUAACAGGUUAAGCUGACGAGUGGCGAACGGGUGAGUAAUGCAUCGGAACGUGCCCGGUCGUGGGGGAUAACGCAGCGAAAGCUGCGCUAAUACCGCAUACGAUCUGAGGAUGAAAGCGGGGGACCGUAAGGCCUCGCGCGAUCGGAGCGGCCGAUGUCAGAUUAGGUAGUUGGUGGGGUAAAGGCUCACCAAGCCAACGAUCUGUAGCUGGUCUGAGAGGAGGACCAGCCACCGUGGGACUUAGAAACGGCCCAGACUCCGACGGGAGGCAGCAGUGGGGAAUGUUGAACAAUGGGCGAAAGCCUGAUCCAGCAAUGCCGCGUGCAGGAAGAAGGCCUUCGGGUUGUAAGCUGCUUUUGUACGGAGCGAAAAGGUCUCCUCUAAUACAGGGGGCUCAUGACGGUACCGUAAGAAUAAGCACCGGCUAACUACGUGCCAGCAGCCGCGGUAA
rnacentral:rRNA from 1 species